rnacentral:misc_RNA from 1 species
GAUGAAGAACGUAGCGAAAUGCGAUACUUGGUGUGAAUUGCAGAAUUCAGUGAAUCAUCGAAUCUUUGAACGCACAUUGCGCCCGCCAGUAUUCUGGCGGGCAUGCCUGUCUGAGCGUCAUUUCAACCCUCAAGCAACUUCUGCUUGGUGUUGGGGAUCGGCCGUUAAACGCCGCCCCCGAAAUCUAUUGGCGAUCUCGCUGUAGCUUCCUAUGCGUAGUAGUAACAUCUCGCAUCUGGAGAGCGGCGCGGUCAUGCCGUAAAACACCCCACUUCUCAGGUUGACCUCAGAUCAGGUAGGAAUACCCGCUGAACUUAAGCAUAUCAAUAAGCGGAGGA